GAAUAUUGGACAAUGGGCGCAAGCCUGAUCCAGCCAUACCGCGUGGGUGAAGAAGGCCUUCGGGUUGUAAAGCCCUUUUGUUGGGAAAGAAAUCCUGUCGAUUAAUACUCGGUGGGGAUGACGGUACCCAAAGAAUAAGCACCGGCUAACUUCGUGCCAGCAGCCGCGGUAAUACGAAGGGUGCAAGCGUUACUCGGAAUUACUGGGCGUAAAGCGUGCGUAGGUGGUGGUUUAAGUCUGCUGUGAAAGCCCUGGGCUCAACCUGGGAAUUGCAGUGGAUACUGGAUCACUAGAGUGUGGUAGAGGGAUGCGGAAUUUCUGGUGUAGCAGUGAAAUGCGUAGAGAUCAGAAGGAACAUCCGUGGCGAAGGCGGCAUCCUGGGCCAACACUGACACUGAGGCACGAAAGCGUGGGGAGCAAACAG
rnacentral:rRNA from 1 species